rnacentral:rRNA from 1 species
UACGUAGGGGGCAAGCGUUGUCCGGAUUUAUUGGGCGUAAAGAGCGUGUAGGCGGCUAGGUAGGUCCGUUGUGAAAACUCGAGGCUCAACCUCGAGACGUCGAUGGAAACCAUCUAGCUAGAGUCCGGAAGAGGAGAGUGGAAUUCCUGGUGUAGCGGUGAAAUGCGCAGAUAUCAGGAGGGACACCGGUGGCGAAGGCGGAUCUCUGGGCCUUGCCUGACGCUGAGGCGCGAAAGCUAGGGGAGCGAACAGG